UACACUCCUGCGGGAGGCAGCAGUAGGGAAUCUUCCACAAUGGGUGCAAACCUGAUGGAGCAAUGCCGCGUGAGUGAAGAAGGUCUUCGGAUCGUAAAGCUCUGUUGUUAGAGAAGAACACGUGCUAGGUAACUACUAGCGCCUUGACGGUAUCUAACCAGAAAGUCACGGCUAACUACGUGCCAGCAGCCGCGGUAAUACGUAGGUGACAAGCGUUGUCCGGAUUUAUUGGGCGUAAAGGGAGCGCAGGCGGUCUGUUUAGUCUAAUGUGAAAGCCCACGGCUUAACCGUGGAACGGCAUUGGAAACUGACAGACUUGAAUGUAGAAGAGGAAAAUGGAAUUCCAAGUGUAGCGGUGGAAUGCGUAGAUAUUUGGAGGAACACCAGUGGCGAAGGCGAUUUUCUGGUCUAACAUUGACGCUGAGGCUCGAAAGCGUGGGGAGCGAAGAGGAUUAGAAACCCGAGUAGUCCC
rnacentral:rRNA from 1 species